rnacentral:rRNA from 1 species
GGGAGCAUUCCGUAUGCGUUGAAGGCGUACCGUGAGGUACUCUGGAGCGUCCGGAAAAGCAAAUGUAGGUAUAAGUAACGAUAAAGGGGGUGAGAAACCUCCUCGCCAUAAGGUCAAGGUUUCCUGAUCAACGCUAAUCGGAUCAGGGUUAGUCGGGUCCUAAGGGUAAGCCGAACGGCGAUCUCGAUGGAUAAUCGGUUAAUAUUCCGAUACUAACAUAUACCUCGAUGGAGAGACGAAAAAAAGUAAGUGACGCGGACUGACGGAAUAGUUCGUUAAAGGAUGUAGAUAAAGG